GAUGAACGCUGGCGGCGUGCCUAAUACAUGCAAGUCGAGCGAACAGACGAGGAGCUUGCUCCUCUGACGUUAGCGGCGGACGGGUGAGUAACACGUGGAUAACCUACCUAUAAGACUGGGAUAACUUCGGGAAACCGGAGCUAAUACCGGAUAAUAUAUUGAACCGCAUGGUUCAAUAGUGAAAGACGGUUUUGCUGUCACUUAUAGAUGGAUCCGCGCCGCAUUAGCUAGUUGGUAAGGUAACGGCUUACCAAGGCAACGAUGCGUAGCCGACCUGAGAGGGAGAGUGGCCACACUGGAACUGAGACACGGUCCAGACUCCUACGGGAGGCAGCAGUAGGGAAUCUUCCGCAAUGGGCGAAAGCCUGGCGGAGCAACGCCGCGUGAGUGAUGAAGGUCUUCGGAUCGUAAAACUCUGUUAUUAGGGAAGAACAAAUGUGUAAGUAACUAUGCACGUCUUGACGGUACCUAAUCAGAAAGCCACGGCUAACUACGUG
rnacentral:rRNA from 1 species